GACGAACGCUGGCGGCGGGCUUAACACAUGCAAGUCGAACGGAAAGGCCCUGCUUUUGUGGUGUGCUCGAGUGGCGAACGGGUGAGUAACACGUGAGUAACCGGCCCUUGACUUUUGUAUAACUUCAGGAAACUGGGGCUAAUACCGGAUAGGAGCUCCUGCUGCAUGGUGGGGGUUGGAAAGUUUCGGCGGUUGGGGAUGGACUCGCGGCUUAUCAGCUUGUUGGUGGGGUAGUGGCUUACCAAGGCUUUGACGGGUAGCCGGCCUGAGAGGGUGACCGGCCACAUUGGGACUGAGAUACGGACCAGACUCCUACGGGAGGCAGCAGUGGGGAAUAUUGCACAAUGGGCGGAAGCCUGAUGCAGCAACGCCGCGUGCGGGAUGACGGCCUUCGGGUUGUAAACCGCUUUCGCCUGUGACGAAGCGUGAGUGACGGUAAUGGGUAAAGAAGCACCGGCUAACUACGUG
rnacentral:rRNA from 1 species